AUGCCUGAGAACAGUGUGGUCGCUGGGUCACACGGUGAUUGCACAUGCGCACGGUACACAUGCACUUUGGGUCUUCGGCGUCUUCAGCUCCUGGGUGGCUCUGGCCUGGACAGCGUCCACCUCUGCCCCCCGCUCCCAGUGUGUCCCACCCUCACCCACACCCACACCCAGAACUCAGGGCCCGCAGCCCGGCCGCGUCUGUGUGCACUGAUGCAUGCAGCUACCCGAGACGCUGCGGGCUCCAUGCGCGUGCAGCCUGCAACGCCGCUCAGGGACAGGGCUGGGACCACAGUUCCUGCUGGCUCCACCGUCCACACAGCAGGAGCGCAGAGGGAGCUGCCGAGGAGUUGGAUCGACUGGCUUCAUCUGACUGCUUCCUGCACCUUUGUGGUUUCAGUCUCUGUGCCUUGGGGGCCGCCCGGUGUCCCUGACACUGGACACUUUGCCGUCUCCGAUGACUCAGUGUGGGGAGAACUGGGGGCGGAGGGAGGAGAUUCCUGGCGAGGUUUCUGGUCGCCCGCGCCCCUGGAACCCGCAGCUUUGGUGCUGCUGCCCUUCACCAGUGAAACGUUCAAGAACAUUGCAUCUGCCUCCUCCUGUUGUCCACUUGUGGUGUCUGCGGAAGGCGGAAGAAGUGUCUCCUCCGGGAACCCGAUCUCGUCCUCCGGCCUCGGGGCCCUGUCGCCAAACAGCCAUGCUGGGGCCCAGGCUUCCACUUGGGAAGGGGGCACGCAUCAGCCCAGAGGUGUAGCGCUGGGAGAUGGGGUCUCUGGGUUCCCCAGGGUCAGGAGCGUGUGGUGGGAAGAGCCCAGCCAGGGCGGCUGUGCGGACUGCAGGGUGAGGCCACCGAGAAAGCCCAGCGCUCUGCCCCUGGCCCCAGAGCCUCAGGGAGAUAGUGGCAGGGCCAGGCUCCGGGCAGGGCAGCUUUGCGUCCUGCUGGUUCCUGGAGGCAGAGCAGUGGGAUUGGGGGCUAAGGGCGCCCUGUGGCACAGGGGCGCAGCUGCCUCUGUGUUACCAGACUUCAGGUGGGAGCUGGGGCCUGCACAGCCUCCAUGGAUCCUCUGUGGCUUCCAUGUCCCCACUGCUGGUUUCCAGGCCCCCACUGUUGGUUUCCAGGCCCUCCCCCCACCCCUGUCCCCGGCUGCCUGGGCCCUGCCAUCAGAAACUCCAGGUGUAGAGGAAGACUUGUUCGGCACUGAGGGGGCCAGCAUCCAGGUGGGAACCCUGGGAGGUUCUUCGUGGGCGUCCAGAGCUCAGAAGAGAACCAGGCCACUGUCCAGGUGA
rnacentral:lncRNA from 1 species